AUGCCAAAAAACAAAACAAAACCAAACCAACCUUCCCCUCUCUGCAUGCUUAGAAGCUGACGUGCUUUGGAAGAAAGAGCCUUUUCCACCGGGCACAAGGGGAAGAAGUAACUUAACAGUCUAAAGAAGACGUGCCUGUGGGAAAGGAGUCCAACGCUAAUGUGGUGGCACCUGUCUUGUCCUGGGGAGAGCAAAGAGGACACUGAAGAGACAGUAUAAACAGGUAAACAUUUGUGUUUCAUCUAAUAAAUAGCAACUGUACAUGCACCCUGGACAUUUUACUAGAUUUGCUGCACUACAGGUGUUUACAUUGAUGAAUCUACAACUAAGAAGAAAAAGGAAACAAGUCUUGAAGUGUAAAGAAAAUGAGCUGAGCCAGGUAUGUGAAGGUAGACAGAUGCUUGUGCAGUGAGGCAUGCUGGUGGCCCAAAACAUUCAAGCUUACUACAUUAAAUGAGCUGUUACGGUAUGAGGUCCUAGUGGAAUUGAUUAAAAUUGGAGGUAUGCAUUUGGAGUUGCAUUUAUAAAGGUAUUUUUUCAGGUGUUUUGUUGAACAACUUUCCAAGAAUUGAAGUGGAGCUGAAUGUUAUAUGUUUCCCAGUUUCCCCUUUUGAAG